rnacentral:sRNA from 1 species
UUUCUUUCUUUCUUUUUUAG